UAAGUUGUAGUUUAAUUUAAAAAAUACUAGUUUUCGGGACUGGAGAUCUACAUAAAGGCAACUUAGUCAACUUAA
rnacentral:tRNA from 1 species